UGGCGCGACCGAUGAGAGUACGUGAGCGGCGCGUGCAGCGGUCACGGUAGCACGUGCGUCGCCUUUGAAUCUCCGUUAAGACGGUCCUCUUUCCUUCCGGGAUGCGCUGCAGGCGUCCCGCGUGCAGGGCACGUGCCCGGCUGCUCCCGUGUGCGCGCUGCGCGCUCCCUUCUGGGAACAGAGCGGCAGCUGCAGAGGUGUGGAAGGAUCCAUUAUUUCUCCAGAUCCCAAGGUCUGGCACAUGAGGGCCCUAAUGAGUUGGACUCUGCACUUGUGCCCUGAACACUUGAAGUGAAGGCCCUGGAGAUUACCUGUUUGUCUUCAGCAGAAGGCAGCUUGGGAGGGAUGUCUUCAGGUAAAGCUUGGAGGCAUCUCCCUGAUACAUUUACUCUGCAAAAUUACUGGGGCAGCUGGUAGUAUAGUUAAUUGUUGCUAUUGGCUCCAAAGGUCACGGCAUUCAAAUCCCACCUACCUUUAUACUAAAGUCAAAUUGUCAGCAGUUAUCCAAAGUUGAAACUAUAACUUGACUCGUAACAAGAGGAUGAUCCUGAAUCUCUGGAUUUUAAGCAUGUAUGGAGAGCAAGAACCACAGGAAGAUGAAGCAUCACAUUUCUGGAUUUGUAGGAUACACUGCCUCAACACUGUUUAUAAUCCAUCUAAACAUCUUACCUGUGCCAAGUGAUUUUUUUUCCAGUUAACUUGAAUAUGUACUUAGCAGUAUUCUACAUUACAGGAAAGUAGAUAUGGAUAACUUUUUGUAACUUAUUUUUGAAUUUGUACUAAUGAGGGUGCACCCCUCUGAAUUCAUGUCUGGAGCCAGAUGUAAUGGCAAUAGUAGCACCUGUUCUAGCAAAUAUUUCAUGGAUGAUUAUCUUGAAGGUAGAUGUCAUUUUAUUAAACCACACACUUGCUGCAGGGUUGCCACUCCCAAAUCUAGUGUAAGCAUGGUAACACCAAAUAAAUUGGACAGGUCCAAUUAUAAAAGCUAAAGUAUAACUUUAUAAGCAAUGCUGGUUCUAAACCCAGGGAGAGAAGUGCUUUGUAGUAUUAAAUAUUGGCUUAUGUUCAUUGGACUAUGAAGUCAAAGCUAUACAUUAUUGUAAUUCAUGUAGCGACAGCUGUUUGACCAUGACUGAGAAGGCAGAAUGCAGUCUCCACCAGUUACAGGUUCUCUAAAUAGUAUGAAUAAAAAUGGCAGUUAGACAUGCACCUUGGUGUGGUCCUGCUCCCUAAAGGAGUUGCAUUGAAGUGACUUGCUAUCUAAUCUGCCAAAAUACUGUAGAUUAAUUUGCUGUUGAGAAAGCACUUGCAGUGCUUUCUCAUAUUCAACCCUAUUCUAGGAGAUGUAUAGCUCAUCUGUAACUUGUAGAUGGACACUGGGAGCUUAUGAAAUUUAAGGUAUGUAAUUCAGAAAGGAGUCCAGGCACUCCAAAAUGUUCUGGGUUAUGUUGCUAUUACAUCUUGUAGCAGGAAAAUGUUACCACUUUAGUCAUCCACAUAUGGUAUAUAGAGGGAACUUAUGGGGGAAAACUAACAAAGUUCCUUGUAAAGUAUCCAAUCAGUGUUGCAUCUUUUCAUAGAGAAAAAGUUUAGGAGGAAGAUUUUGUUACAAUUUUCUAACUUUUAGCUAAAGGAUUAAUGGUUAACUGAACAUCAUGAGAGUAAUGUGUUCCUGUUGCAUUCCCAGAAUAUAUGUAUCAAAAUGCAUUACAUAUUUUAUAAUGGGCAAAUGUAGCUUUAUACUGAAGGGCUUUUGAGUAACUGAAUGUUCUACUAAACUGGCAACCUGCCACAGUGAGAGUGUCAGUGGAAAUAUCCUGUGAAGAGUUCAUUUACAUUUUGAAUGCACUGUUGAGUGGCAUUUUUUUUGCAUUUCUCAGUAUUUAAGAAUCCUUAAUAUAGUCAUAAUUGACAUCUAAGGAGA